rnacentral:lncRNA from 1 species
CCAACAAAUAAAUAUCAACGCAUUUUAAAUCAUUAUAAUGCAAUUUUAUGUCAAAAUUUAAAUUUAAAAGUAGUAGCCUGUGAGACUACAUGUCCCUUAUAGUGUUCUCAAUUUGUCACGUCCCUAGUUAAAGGUUAAGAUUUCUCAUUCUUGCUUCUAUGUACCGACAGAGCGACAAGCGCGCUCACCGCUUUUAUCAUAUUAUAUGAGAUUCUAUUAAAAAAAAUAUUUGUGUAUUUUAAUGUUAGAAUGUAAUUUUAUUAGAAUAUUAAGCAAACUGUAAAACAGUAUUAAAGUACGUAAAUUAAUAUCAACACUUUAUCACGAUUAGUAGAGUAGUGUUUUUAGAACAUCCGUUUUGGUAGUAUUAUGCAUCUUUUAAAUGUAUGCACAUUUUUAUGUCGUUUACAAAAUAAUUCUUAAAUAUUUACAGUAUUUCAGAAUAGCUUGAUUGAUAUGAAAUUUUUGAAAACUGUUCAUAUAAAGAUAUCACUGAAAAUUAACAGAAAUUCAAAAAUAUUUUAAUAAAACGGUUUUAUACAAUAACGAAAUAAAUAUAACAUUAUUGUCUGCAAUUAAUAUACCAGUGACCAUAUAAAUCAAGCGAUUCUAAAACAAUUAUCUCUACUAGUCUAUGUCUAUAGUAUUUAUACUCUUAUUACAUGUAUGUACAAUUUGAGAGCCUUAAACUGUGAGUCCAUGAAUGUGAUCGAACGUGAUAAUGAGUAUGAUAGUUAAUGUUACCUGCUGUUUCUAAUCUAUAAUACUCCCAUGUGUGAGUGAUAAAAAAAAAAAAUCCAUACUUUUAUACAUACCUUUUUAUCUUUAGAUACCAUUUAUCCCAUAGUAUAUUGUACAACAUAAAAAUGCAGCAGGUAGCAAUUGUAUUUUUAUAUAUUACAUUAAUAUUUUAUAUAUAUUUUACAAAAUAUUAACAUUUGUAUUUAUACCGUUAAUAAAUGUAUAGAAAUAAUAUAACAUAUGUAUUUUAGACGUAUAUUUAGAUACACACAACUUUAUAUAUCAUCCCAUUGAACAUCGCACAAUAAAAAUACAAUUUGUAUUCUUAUAUAUUACCUUAAAAUUUUAUAUAUAUUUUAUAAAAUAUUAACAUUUGUAUUUAUACCGUUAAUAAAUGUAUAGAAAUAAUAAAACAUAUAUAUUUCAGGUGUAUAUUUAGAUACACACAAAAGUAUAUAUUUUAUAAAAUGUCAUGUUUAACACAUUUAAAUAUUCAUAUUUGACACAUUUUAGAUGGGUAUUAUAGUCACUACUUUGAUAAAAUAUUCUUACUAGAUAUAAAUACAAUGUAUGGUGUUUAGCAUUUAUUUGUAGCUUCAUCUCUUUCACAGCUUGUUUAUUUACCCUGAGGUCUUUAUACAGUAUCCGGUCUUUUUCUAAUGUGCAGUUGACCUAGUAGCUUUUGCAGUAUUAUUUUGGUGCUGAUCUAUAAUCGAAAGUUAAAUUAUUUAAAUCUAUGAAUUUACCUAAGUUGCUCAUGUAGUUACUCAUGUAAGAAUAAAAUGCUGAUUUCAAACGGAUGAUCAACUCUUUGUCUGAGAUAACAGUAAAUAUUCAUGGUAUGUGUUAUACAAAAAACGAUGACUAUAUAUGUGGCUUUGUAAAAGUACUUGAAUAUUUGUUUGUCUAAAGUAACAAAAUCUGUAAUUAACUAAAAAUUUAAAUAAAACUUGACCUUUAGGUAUAAUUAUUGUCUGCUCACGUAAACCAAAGUCAGCUUUAUUCACGUUUUCAAUAUUAUGAAAACUUUAACAUUGUUAAAAGGCCUACUUUAGGAUGAUCAUGCACUCGCUUGACAUUGUACGGCCUACAUGCCAUCGUGUUUUUAUACUUUGUUGCUCACUUUUACUUCGUACUUUACCUUUAUGUACAAAAAGGCUUAUUACUUAAUCUGUAUUUUUUUCCAGAUUAGGUUACAAUUUUAUUUUAUUGAUUAUUGUAAUUGUACUAGUUAUUAUUGAAAAUGUUGUAAUUAAAAUGAUUAUUUGCUUGUAUUACAUAAUUUAGUCGCAAAUAUUUUAUGUAUUUGAAUUAUCACUAUUCAAUAAAUACAUUUAUCAAUG